UACGUAGGGUGCAAGCGUUGUCCGGAAUUAUUGGGCGUAAAGAGCUCGUAGGCGGUGUGUCGCGUCGGCCGUGAAAACCUGCAGCUUAACUGUGGGCUUGCGGUCGAUACGGGCAUCACUGGAGUUCGGCAGAGGACCAUGGAAUUUCGGGUGUAGCGGUGGAAUGCGUAGAUAUCGGGAGGAACACCGGUGGCGAAGGCGGUUCUCUGGGCCUUACCUGACGCUGAGGAGCGAAAGCGUGGGGAGCGAACAGG
rnacentral:rRNA from 1 species